UACCUUUGCACACGAAUUAAGAAAAUCUUGAUUCAUACAUAAUAAUCAUUUAAAUAAUAUUGGAAUG
ncrna:unclassified sequences S15-Flavobacteria ribosomal protein leader